GCCGAGCUGUGGCCUGUGGGGAAGUUCACCAACAUCGACCCCUCCCUGUUCACGGCUCUGCACUGUCAGGAUCAGCAGAACUCGACUGUCAGUCAGGCAACAGGAACGAAGAAGAAAAAGGUGGAGGUGACUUGGGAAGCUCCUAAUAACUACGGAGAUAUCUACUUCAGUGCGACUGUGGUCCAGGACUACAAAACAUUCUGGGUUGGGCUGAACAGCAGCCUUCUGAGACAGGACAGCAGCUCUGCAGCGGGACGAGUCUUUUCCCCCUCAUUUCUGCUCUUCAUCAUUCUGCUGAGUCUGCCUGUUUACUGCUAAUACAUACAAACACACACGUACUUACGCAUGCACGCACACACAUUUAUGAUUUAAAAUGCUUUUUGAUCAAACUUAAGUUCUGUCUGUUUGUAACUGGACGACAUAGGCAGACGAUUUCUCAGGUUGAUUCAAAUGAAAGGGAAGCUGUUGCUGUCUGCACCUCACAUCAGUGCAAGUGUCAAAGCAAAAACAGGCUGCGACAACCAACUACUACCUGCUAUUUAUAACAAACUUCAACCUGCUAUAAUCAACUACAACCUGCUAUAACCUGCAUAGGUGAGGUCAAUGUUUGAUCUUUUGAAGGAACCCAUUUGCUUUUCUCAGACUUUCUUUGUGUUUUCAAAUAAUCAAAAGCGUCAGCGAGCAUCAUGGUCCAUAAAAAGCUCCGUUCAGACAGCCGGAGUGUGAGGAUUGUUGCUCCAUACGGGUUUUUUUCAGGUUUAUUUUGGGACUUUUUAUGCCUUUAUUUUAGAGAUAGGACAGUGGACUGAGAGA